UUUUUUCUUUUUUUUAUUUUUCUUUUUGUUGCCACAAUUAAAAGGCUAGAAUUGUCCCAACUAAAAGACUUUAAUACUCUACACAAGGAAGAAUGUAACAGACCAAUGGUUUGGACUGCCUAUUUGGCUUCGUGGAAAUAGAAGGAAACAAUGUUUCUUAAAAUGCCAUUUAUAACUAUUGAGAAAGGUAAAAUAGUUUGUCUUAAGGCUAGUUUGAAUAAAUUGCAGAUUGGAGAAUGCAACUAGUUUGCAUCAACAAGGAAUUUAUACCUAUUUGGGAAGCAAUUGCAUUUGCUUUCCCCCAAUUAAUAAGGAGUAGAAACUCUUUCUUUUUCAUAAAUUUAAAUGAAGGAAAAAGAAUUUACCUCCAAAAUGAGCUUUUAGAUGGUAAAAUUAGUGGGAAUUUACCUCCAAUAUGUGCAAAAGGUUUUUUCCCUUGUUGCUGAUUUCAGUUUACUUCCCUCUUAUAUUAUGUUUUUACUUUCAUUCCCUUAGUUUUUCAACAAAAGUUAUUGAAAGGGAAAUUGAACAUGUCAAUCAUUCCCUACAACCAGCAAGUUAGCUUAUCAUGGAUGCCUCAUAAAAAGUGUUAUUAUAGUUCUUUGCUUCAUUCACUGCAUGCCUCAUAAUACUUUCACUUCCUUUCUAGGAAAAAUUGAAAGAAUGAUUUUCUGAUCAUCCGUACAUUGUACAGUACAUUGAAUCAUCACUAUGUUUGAUAUCACCUAUUCACUGAUUUUCUGAAUCAGUAGUUUUCCUUUCCCUUAAUUCAUUGUACAUUUUUUAAUAGAAUAUUUUCAUAUUUUCUUUUUAUUGUUGCAGAUGUUAGAGGGGUAGUGAAAAAUAAAGUUCCACUUGUGCGUUCAUUGACCUUAACAAGUAUAUGAAAUUUUAGUAGAUGAACUCUUCUACCAAGAUGGAUUACAUGGAGCAGUUUUUCAAGGACCAAGUGGUUGUCAUUCAUGAAACUUUAGAAGCAAAACAAAGUGCUUUUGAGAAAUUGCUUUAGGGAGAACGUGAUAAGGCAAAGCUGUCCAACAAUGACUCUAGAAGCAAAGAGGAGAAGAAACUUAGGUAUUGAAUUUAAUUGACAUCUCUAUAAUGAAUUGUUUAUCUCGUUGAUGCAUAAGUUAAUUUCCUUUGCUAUAAUAUCUAGGUUUUACACUCUUUAGAAUCCAUGACUACUGAAUUUUUUUUUCUCUGGGUUGCUCAACUGAUCAGCCAAAAGAAGAAAGAAAAAAAAAGCAUGCCCACGCGCAUAGAAAAAAGGCUUUUUCUAAUAGUAACUGUUUUAGGAUUUGAUAUUCAUAAUACAACCCCAUCUUGGUUUUCGUUGUUUUAAAUCACCCAAACUCAAACAAGUAUGUCAGAUUUGAAAAUUUCUCAAUUUCUCCAUUUUGCAUCUUAUGGGCCAACCUACUAUUGAUAUUAGAAAAUGUGCAGACUUUACCAUUCAUCAAAAGUCCCACUUAUCUUGUGGGCCUUUAGCAAGGAUGAAGAAGAAGAUAAGGAGACCAGAGAGUGCAAGUCUUUCUUUAAACAUUUGAAGUUCUUCUUAAGUCGUGAGGAUUUUGAUGUUCGAGAGUUUGCUAUAUCAGUUGCUGGCAAAUUGUCUAAAAAGAAUCCAGCAUAUGUUCUGCCUACACUUUGUCAUCAUCUCAUACAAUUUUUAAUGCAUCUUGAGCAAAGGUAAUCUAAAAGAUAUCUACUUGCCAAUAAUAUUAUUGAUUUAUGGGGAAAUAGAUGCCAAUUUUUCAUAUUCAGAGUUGGUACUAGUGUCAUACAGAGGUUUAUGGUGUGAAGAGUGCUUGCUGAGAGUUUUGGAGAUCUUUAUGUUGGUUCAUCAUAGAAAGGAGGCUUUGGUGAGGGGGUUCUAUGGAAGGAAUUUGUAUUCUCAAGGAUUUGGAAGGGUAUGCUGCCUUUAAAGGUGAAGGCUUUAG